UAAUACGAAGGGGGCUAGCGUUGUUCGGAAUUACUGGGCGUAAAGCGUACGUAGGCGGAUUUGUAAGUAGGGGGUGAAAUCCCCAGGCUCAACCUGGGAACUGCCUUCUAGACUGCAAGUCUUGAGAUCAGGAGAGGCGAGUGGAAUUCCGAGUGUAGAGGUGAAAUUCGUAGAUAUUCGGAGGAACACCAGUGGCGAAGGCGACUCGCUGGACUGAUACUGACGCUGAGGUACGAAAGCGUGGGGAGCAAACAGGAUUAGAUACCCUGGUAGUCCACGCCUUAAACGAUGAGAGCUAGUUGUCAGUAAGCAUGCUUAUUGGUGACGCAGCUAACGCAUUAAGCUCUCCGCCUGGGGAGUACGGCCGCAAGGUUA
rnacentral:rRNA from 1 species